UGCUGCUGCUGCAUCCGGUGCUUCUGCACCUCGGCGUACAAGCUGUCUCUCUGCUUCUUGGACAUCCGACCAAACUUGACAGCUGGGAAGAGAGAAAGCAACGCACACCUUGAACCAGGCAGAGUUGUCCUCUCUCAAGCUUUCAGGUUUCCAGAAUAUCUCAGAGCAAGUCGGCAUAAAAGCAAGUCACAAGGCAAAAACAACUUCCUCAAGCUGCCCCCAACCCCCUUGCAAACACACCCUCCCAGUUCUCUACAGGUCAGUGGAUGGCACUCAAAAUCUGCCAUCAGUGUCCUCACCUGCUGCUUUGUGUGAUGACUGGGGUCUGCAUGGAUCAAGCCAAUAAGCCUGUUCUGCAUCCAUGGCUCCGAGGCCACACCAUACAAACGGUCACAACAGUGAUAAUGAAGAUGCUAUGUGGACUCAAGUGGCACUUUCCAGGAUACUUUUAAGUGCCUCUGAUUCUUGGAAUAUCCUAACAGGUGGGAAGGGCAGGUGUCACGGCUACCUUAUGGAUGAAGUGGAGGGAUUAAAAGACUAAGAUGUGGGCAGG
rnacentral:lncRNA from 1 species